ACGCUCGACACCUACGAGGCAGCAGUGGGGAAUAUUGCACAAUGGGGGAAACCCUGAUGCAGCGACGCCGCGUGAGCGAAGAAGUAUUUCGGUAUGUAAAGCUCUAUCAGCAGGGAAGAAACUGACGGUACCUGACUAAGAAGCACCGGCUAAAUACGUGCAGCAGCCGCGGUAAUCUGAGCGGGCUGGCAAGGC
rnacentral:rRNA from 1 species